GUGGGUAUAGCUCAGUGGUAGAGCACAUGCUUAGCAUGCAUGAGGUCCUGGGUUUAAUCCACAGGACCUCCA
rnacentral:tRNA from 1 species